rnacentral:lncRNA from 1 species
UGCAUGAGAAAACAUCCGGUUGAAGCUAAUGUACGUUUUUUUCUUGAAAAUUCAUUUUACAGGAAAUAGAAGGAACAACAGAAGAGGGCGAUAAAGUGAAAAUAUCUAUAGUAGAGUUAUGUAAAAAAACAAUAAUGAUUAAAUGGAAAAAAAGUAUGUGUGGACCGAAGAGGGUCAAGCAGCUGGUUCAAAGACAAGGAAAUGGAAUUCAGUUUUGAAAAGUACACAGUAAUAGACCUGAAAAAAAAAAGAUCUGAGGCACAUCAACUGGAAAUAUAAUCUGCAAAACAGUAAUGUCAAGUGAAUGCCACUGUGCCUCACCAUAAACGCACCUCUUGGCAGGCAUCUGCAGGUUUUCUAUCUAUGUAGACAAUCUGGGGAUUUUCUCACAUUCUGUUUGUUCUUUGAGAGAUUACACAACUCAUUCGAAGACUUCACGGAAGCAUGCAGUGUGAGCCCCAUUCCAGUUUGAAAUUGAGCUCUGUGAACUUAUAGAUGUGAAACCACUACGUGAUUGCUGAUAUAUCAGAAUUUGAAUCCAAUUACUUCAUGGACAGUAAUUAUCAAUUAUUUUGUUUUCUAAAAUGGCAGACGAUAUAUAUUCACAAGUAACUUAUAACACAUUUUGAAACAUAUUCAUAAAACAUAUUUCAACUUUAAAAAGUAGAAGCAUGAGUGAUGAAGAACAUGCCUUAUUUCUGUUUUCAAUUUCCCUUUUAUAGUCAGGAAAUGCAUAUGCACUUACAGUUGCUUUCGUGCCUUAUGCAUGUUCUUUGACUUUAAAAUUAAU